AUGAAGGGGAGUAGCAGCAAUUUAUGGUUCAGAUUAGGUGCAGAGCAGGGGGCCAAGGAAGAAGCAGCAGCUAGAAGCUUCGAGUUGAGAGAAGGAGGGAAGUGGUGGAAGUGGAAGAGAUGGAGCAGCAGCGUGGGGUUGAGAAGAAGAGCAGCAGCAACAGUGUUAGGGGAAGCAGAGGAGGAGGAGCAGAGAGAUGAACAGCGGCAGGGGCGUGGGAGAAGCAACGAGGCAAGGGAAGGAGGAAGAAGAGAAGCAGCGAGGCAAGGAGAAUCGCGCGGGGCACCAGACGCCUCGUCUGGUCGGGCGCGCGAGCGUGGGGUGAAGGAGCGGUGGAGGCGCUGGUGGUGCUGA
rnacentral:rRNA from 1 species